AGGCUGGUGCUGGUAGACUGUCUGAUGGAACACAGGAGGUCUAGAGGGUGGUGCUGGUAGACUGUCUGAUGGAACACAGGAGGUCUAGAGGGUGGUGCUGGUAGACUGUCUGAUGGAACACAGGAGGUCUAGAGGGUGGUGCUGGUAGACUGUCUGAUGGAACACAGGAGGUCUAGAGGGUGGUGCUGGUAGACUGUCUGAUGGAACACAGGAGGUCUAGAGGGUGGUGCUGGUAGACUGUCUGAUGGAACACAGGAGGUCUAGAGGGUGGUGCUGGUAGACUGUCUGAUGGAACACAGGAGGUCUAGAGGGUGGUGCUGGUAGACUGUCUGAUGGAACACAGGAGGUCUAGAGGGUGGUGCUGGUAGACUGUCUGAUGGAACACAGGAGGUCUAGAGGGUGGUGCUGGUAGACUGUCUGAUGGAACACAGGAGGUCUAG